rnacentral:rRNA from 1 species
GACGAACGCUGGCGGCGUGCCUAAUACAUGCAAGUCGAACGCAGUGGGGACGGGAGAGUAACACGUGGGUAACCUGCCCAUCAGAGGGGAUAAAACUUGGAAAAAGGUGCUAAACCGAUAGUGAUGGAUGGACCCGCGGUGCAGUAUCUAGGUGGUGAGGUAACGGCUCACCAAGGCCACGAUGCAUAGCCGACCUGCGAGGUGGAUCGGCCACACUGGGACUUAGACACGGCCCAGACUCCUACGUGAGGCAGCAGUAGGGAAUCUUCGGCAAUGGACGAAAGUCUGACCGAGCAACGCCGCGUGAGUGAAGAAGGUUUUCGGAUCGUAAAACUCUGUUGUUAGAGAAGCGGUAUCUAACCAGAAAGCCACGGCUAACUACGUGCCAGCAGACGCGGUAAUAC